ensembl:lncRNA
AGUAUAUUCUAUGGUAAACCAUGUUUAUUAAUAGGUUUUAUAUUUUUAAUUUUGGAAACCACAAGAUGCUUGCAGAGUCUGUUCAGAGCAGAUGGUAGGUGCACAGGAAUGUAUAGGGAACUGGGGGGAAGCUAAGUUGGUCUCAGCCCUUUCAGCCUUGGGUCAAGCUAAAGUUGACCUGUCCUUUCAGCUUUGGGUCAUCUUGGCUAAUGAGGUUGAUCCAUCCGGACAACAGAACUGGGCAGUUGAUAACAUGCUGGGACGAAGAUUGAGGGCGGAAACCCGUUGUGACUCCAUUGUAAACAAAGAAAUUCCUAUACUUGUAUAAAGUGAGGCUGCAGCCCAAUGUUGGGCCAGUGACUCUGCAGACCCACUCAGGCUGUUGUCGUUGUUGUUUUUCUUCACGAUAAAGUCUUUUUCAAUUCUUGCUCCGGACCCCUCGAUUUCUUUUACUCUCUCUCUCUUAAAUUAGUCUAAGUGUUUUAAAUCUCGAUUAAUCUACGACAUAAUUUGGCGUCACGAACAGGAAGAAAUAGGGACUCUCCAGCUGCCGGGCCAGAGGACGGGACUCGAACGGAUCAUACGACCAGAGCUCAAGGAGAAAACAUAGAACCACCACUGGGAUUGGUGAUUCUGUGGUUCUUGGAGACUCUGCAUCGCGUCGGAACACCAUGUGGUAUAGAUCAUUACAUCUUGGUACACAGAGCACUGUUAAAGACAAUAGGUGGAUUGACGCUACAUCUGCUGGGAAGGAGACAUACAUGCUAUGUUGUCAAAUUGGAUUCGGAAGUAGUGGGUUUACCUUCAAAUGCCACUAAUACUGCUGCAACACUUUAAUAAUUUUAACUCUGAUAAAUUAUCUUUUGUUUUAUAGUCGCCCUGAUGUGUAUUCAUUACGCACACGUAUGGCUGCAUAAGGCAGAUGCGGCUGAAGACUCUGUCUCCAUCCCUCCACUUUGCGAUCUAUACCACCAUAUAGGUGGGGAUUGAUCGUAUCCCAGGUACGGCAUCCUGCAAUAAGCCAGUAUGGAAGGCUGGUUAGCCAACGACGGGUAAGAUCCCACCUUGAAGCCCGGGACAACCUAAAUCAGGCACAGUCACGAUUACUUGGCAGAGUCACUGUGAGCACUGGCUCACUUGAUCAUGGAGUGACGGACUGCAACCAUCAUAGGAAAAGCCGGCUGAUGAAAGGUGGAGGGGGAACAGGAGUCAGAUAUGUCAGCUAUGGCAGCAGAAGUGGUCUUGGAACGGGGCAUGUCGCGUUUUAUUUCAUUUUAUUUUACCUUUGUGGUAUAGAAGGCCACUAACGCAUUUACGUUUUUUUCGGUUUAGUGCAUGACUUCGGAACAGCGUGGUUUCGGGCGGCUGAUGGUAAACCCACCCAUAUUGGGCUUUGGAUUUGGACAUACUGGUUUCGAUUUCCCUUCCCAAAGGAUUGGUUUCAGUUUGCUGAUGCUUAAGGUUAGACGUUUCGACGUUGGUUGCACCAACGACGUUCUUAGAUUUGCUUAUCAUUUAAAGCGCAUGGUUUUGACCAUUGCGCAAGGGGGGAGGUAUUGAGGAGAAUUAGUAUGAAAUAUUUGAAAAAAACAGUAACGACGCAUCUAACCCCGCAUGAAAUGUUUACGGGUCGACCCAUGCCUUCACCUGUCAUUCGAGGGCCUCAUAAAGGACCUCCAUUAGAACAAUUGGAAACUGAAUUAAGACGUUAUAUGGGACAACUAACUGGCAUACACAGGCUUAUUUUUCAACAAGAGAAAGACAGAGUUCCAAAGUUGGAGAAGGAGCCACCAAGGGGGGUGGAGCCAGGUGACCAAGUGUACCUCAGGAUAUUCAGGAGAAAGUGGGACGAGCCCAGAAGAGAAUGACCAUACAAAGUCGCCAACGCAACACCAACAGCCAUCCAAGUGGAAGGAAGUGCCACGUGGUAUCAUCUCAACCACUGCACAAAAGCCGCUCAACCUAAAGCCAGGGAUGAGUGUGAGGAGGAGGAGCCAGACGCAGACACACGUGGGGCUGACCAGCUGCCCCAGGACCAGAUCCAGUCGAGCCAAGAGAUACAACAGCAUGAUGAUGCUGAAAACGGGGAGCCUGUUUCUGAUCCUUUACGGGUUGUGCCAGAUUUCGCUGGCACAAGCAUAGACCCCGAGGAAGGAUGAAACCACGGAGACAACUCAGACCUGGAAGAGCCAGGAAUCAGGGGCUGGUACUGAAGGAAGCCUAAGAGAAACACAGGACAAUCCGGCCCCAACUCACUCAGGAAUAGUCAACAAGAAAGGGAAAAUAGUCUUAUAUGCUCAGAUACCACCGCGAGACCAAGUUAAUGAAUUUGUGUUUACUGUUAUGUCGGAUAACCAACCGUUAUGUGCAUUAACCUUCAGCCAGUCUGGCAUAGAGAAGUCGGGUGACUGGGAGAGGAUGCUCUAUGGGGAGAUAGAUUGGAGUGACACUAGAAAGGAGACCGGAAUGUGAGAAUCGGACAUCAGAAGGAGGUCAUAUUCUCUUAACUGGUGACCUCUCCAAUGGGAACCACAACCAUUUCAGACAGUGUGAACAAAUGGACAUUGGACUAAUGGGUUCCAGGGCAUGGUGGCUGCGAACGGCAGCAACUACGAUGCCCAAACCCCCCACGUUAUAUAGUAUACCGGUACAUGACGAUAAUCAGAGCUAUUCAAAUCUAUGCAAGCUUGUUGACAAUCUUAGUUUUUAAUUUCUAUUAUUUACUUAUUUUUUGAAAUGUCAUUUUUUGAGUUUCAUAUUUUUAUGUCAUAUAUUCUGAAAUGCUAAUUUUCAAUGCAUGCUGAAAAUACUGUGUUAUGUGUGAAUUCUAGUUAGACAUGUUAGACAUUUGAUAGAUCUUUUUUGCCUUAAUCAGGUUGAGAUUCCUGAACAUGUUUAAAGGUUUUUAAUGAUGAUCAAAUGUAGUGCAAAAUAUGACCUAAAUGACUGUUAUGUUUUUGUUGUGGGGGGACUCGGCUGUUAUCGUUGUUGUUUUUCUUCACGAUAAAGUCUUUUGUCAAUUCUUGCUCCGGACCCCUCG